rnacentral:rRNA from 1 species
UACGGGGGGGGGUAAGCGUUGUUCGGAAUUACUGGGCGUAAAGGGCUCGUAGGCGGCCAACUAAGUCAGACGUGAAAUCCCUCAGCUUAACUGGGGAACUGCGUCUGAUACUGGAUGGCUUGGAUUCGGGAGAGGAAUGCGGAAUUCCAGGUGUAGCGGUGAAAUGCGUAGAUAUCAGGAGGAACACCGGUGGCGAAGGCGGUCUA